UACGAGGGGGGCAAGCGUUGUUCGGAAUUAUUGGGCGUAAAGGGCGCGUAGGCGGUGCGGUAAGUCACCUGUGAAAACUCUGGGCUCAACUCAGAGCCUGCAGGCGAAACUGCCGUGCUGGAGUGUGGGAGAGGUGCGUGGAAUUCCCGGUGUAGCGGUGAAAUUCGUAGAUAUUCGCAAGAACACCAGUGGCGAAGGCGGCUCACUGGCCCGAUACUGACGCUGAGGUGCGAAAGCGUGGGGAGCGAACCGGG
rnacentral:rRNA from 1 species